UGGACCUCAGAUCAGGCAAGAUCACCCGCUGAAUUUAAGCAUAUCACUAAGCGGAGGAAU
rnacentral:rRNA from 1 species